CUCAACCGAUCGGACUCUCCCUCCCCUUUUCAUUUUCGUGCGACAUUUCCAACAGCCGCUGAAGAAGACCGAGCAAACCCCCUGCAGCUCAUACAAGAUUUUCCUCCACCGUUUCGGCCCGCCCCUCCAUGCGUCCUCUUCAGUCAACAACCGGAAGCACUGAAGCCUCUUUGUUGACCGAACAACACCCGUGAAUCUCGAAGACUGAAGUCGUUACGUGUCUCUCGUGGUCCAGGCGAAGUUGCUCCUCCAUCCGUAUCUUCUGUCCAGCCAGCUGAGUCAAAGACCCGAGCAGUCUUCUCCGCAAGCAUCGACACCAGCUGCAUCUCCAUCUGCCGCGCGUCCUUCACCCCUCAGCUCCACGAUCGUCUGCUCCACUAUCCAUCUUCACGCUGCCUCUCACGCCAGCUCACGGUCAACACCAGCAACAAGCGGAGCCUUCGGUUGACUGAGCAUCAUUCCCUUGCUGCCACUUGGCCGCAUCUGCCUCUUCUUCGGUCAACAAGCGGACAUUGAAGACCACCGAGGAAGCCUGCAUCUCGUCCGCAACGCCAGCCCACGCGUCUUCAGUCACGAAGCUUCAGUCCGCGCGUCCACGAGUGUCUUCGGUCAGCAAUUUCCACCGAAGGAAUUCCAGAACCCCAGCGAAUCAGCAGCAUGAUCGAAGCCGUGAGUCCACGGUCUUCAGCCACGUGAGCAGCCGAAAGUCCAUCCCCUGUCCGCGUGAUUUCUCUUCUUCACUCGUGGAGCAGCCGGCCCAAGCUUGCAGUCUUCGGACCAUCUCCUUCGCAGUAAAUUGGGCCCAGCAAUCCACCUCCUCCAGCAGCUCAGCCCAGAUGAAGCCUGCAAGCCCAGCAAGCCCAGUUCAGCUAGCGCAGUUAGUUCAGUCCAGAAAUUCAGCAGGUCCAGCCCAUUCCAGUGCAAGAACAAAUCUCAAUUGGGCUGAGAUUUGUUGGGCCUAAGCUUAAGGCCCGGUUCAAGUCCGCCGGUGUUGUCGAAAGCCCGAUUUCGGCCGCCGUCGUGUCGCCGUUGCGGUGAUUCGAUCUCCGCUUUUGUCAAGUGAGUUUUACUCACUAAUGCUUUAUUAGUUUGCUAAUUAUGCUUAAGGUUGGUUAGAUUUAAUUACAUGCACUUAGGUGGUUAGAUUAGGUUAGAACAAUUAAUUUAGUGACUUAAUGAUGCAUGUUAGGUGGUUAGACCUAGCUAUUAGCAAGUAGAAAUGUUUGGUUGUUUAUUGAAUGCAUCUCGGGAUUUUUCCCGACCCGUUUCGGGCUCCAAUAAGGCAAUAUGGGCAUAAAUUGGAUUUUUAAUGUUUAUUUAUUUAUUUUCGAAAUUUAUUUAUUUAAUUAAUUAUUUUUCCGGAAAUUCAACCGGGAUGGCCGGUGACCAGAAUUUCGUGCUGAUUGUCGUGGUGCAGCCCAUUUAUUUAUUUGAGCUCUACGUUGUGUGGAAUUGAAUUUAUUGUGGAAUUUUAGGAAUUGUCCUAAAUUGUUUGUUAUUGAAUAUUUGAUUGGUUGUUGGCCGAAUAUGGGUAUAUAGCGCCAGUUCGUUGAUGGGCUAUAUAGUAGAGAGAAUGGUGAGAGCUAACUGAGAACAUUAUUGGUUGAGACCAAUCAGGUACGAUAUUAUUGGACAUACGUGGUUCGGUGAUUGGAAGUAUCACUGGCGAAAACGGCGCCUUAAAGAACGCACGUAAAUGACUUAUAGACAAACGUGGUUCGGUGGUUAUGGGAAUAUCACUGGUGAAAACGGCGCCUUAAAGAACUCACGAUGUUGUCUAUAGCCGAUGUCACCUUGGCGAAAACGGCGCCCUAGAAAGGACACGUGGUUCGGUGAUCAAGGUUAUCAUUGGUGAAAACGGCGCCUUAAAGAACGCACGGUGUCGGUGAUCGGUAUGUCAUUAGCGAAAACGACGCCCGGGAAACACAUGUGAUUUGGUGAAUGAGUACACCACUGGGAAAUCGUGGUAUGAGUGGGAAUGACCUAGAAAGGGUCUGGCUGACAUGUAAUCGACUUAGUCGAUUGACCAGUGCUUGAUUGAAUGUCGUGAAUUGUUUGAAUAUCUGUGUUUAACCUUGAAUUGCAGGUUGGAACUGAGGCUAAGGUAAGUCCUCUGACUCGUGUUGUGCUUAGGCAACCGUAUGGUGUAUUAGUUUACUAAUCGAGUCGUAGGGGGUAGGACUCGCUGAGACGUGGUCUCAUUGGUUAUUGAAUAAUCAUUUCAGGACCCUGAGGAGAAGCUAAGGAAGAGAAACCUGAAGGGGAGAAAGACUUUUGAAGAAGAAGAAGAUCCAGAGAGGGAUCUUGAAUAUAACCCAGAUGUGGAUUGAGAUCCCAUCCCUUUUGUGAACCCUGUCUUAGUGUAGAUA
rnacentral:lncRNA from 1 species